AAGAUCAUACUUCACAGGAUCAUUUCUGUAGUAUAUCUUCGCAAUCUCUCUACUCAAAUGUAGAGUUGUCGCAACCAUGAGGAUGAGAUAUAGUCUUGUUUCCUGAGCGUGAGAAAUGACUCUAAUCGGCUCAAGCUUGAGCUGGAUAGUGGUCCACGAUGAUCGUUCAACCUGUUGCCUAGCAAUGGGGUAUGGAAAUGAGACUGUCUGAGUGGU